rnacentral:rRNA from 1 species
GAUUAGUGGCGAACGGGUGAGUAACACGUGGGCAAUCUGCCCUGCACUCUGGGACAAGCCCUGGAAACGGGGUCUAAUACCGGAUACGACAUCCUUCCGCAUGGGAGGGUGUGGAAAGCUCCGGCGGUGCAGGAUGAGCCCGCGGCCUAUCAGCUUGUUGGUGGGGUGAUGGCCUACCAAGGCGACGACGGGUAGCCGGCCUGAGAGGGCGACCGGCCACACUGGGACUGAGACACGGCCCAGACUCCUACGGGAGGCAGCAGUGGGGAAUAUUGCACAAUGGGCGAAAGCCUGAUGCAGCGACGCCGCGUGAGGGAUGACGGCCUUCGGGUUGUAAACCUCUUUCAGCAGGGAAGAAGCGUGAGUGACGGUACCUGCAGAAGAAGCACCGGCUAACUACGUGCCAGCAGCCGCGGUAAUACGUAGGGUGCGAGCGUUGUCCGGAAUUAUUGGGCGUAAAGAGCUCGUAGGCGGCUUGUCGCGUCGGAUGUGAAAGCCCGGGGCUUAACCCCGGGUUGGCAUUCGAUACGGGCAGGCUAGAGUUCGGUAGGGGAGAUCGGAAUUCCUGGUGUAGCGGUGAAAUGCGCAGAUAUCAGGAGGAACACCGGUGGCGAAGGCGGAUCUCUGGGCCGAUACUGACGCUGAGGAGCGAAAGCGUGGGGGAGCGAACAGGAUUAGAUACCCUGGUAGUCCACGCCGUAAACGUUGGG